GCUCCCUUUGUGAAUGAAAACAACAAAAGCAUGAAUAUUGAAACAAGAAAAAUCAAUUGAAGUGUAACAGUCAUUGGUAUGAACCUCAAUUAUUCAAAAUUAUCUCUGCUGUGUGUACACAAGCGAGAAAUCAAACAGCUGCAAGAUCGUUCAUGAUCGGCCAAGAUCAGAAUGGAGAAAGUCAAACAGGAAUUCUUUAAGGAGUCACAGAUUUUUUCCCAUACUAUGAACGAUGAAGGGAUAGCUGUUAACCAAUUACGAGCAGAUUUGUAAGUUGGAUUCUGCAGUGAGUCAUUUUCCCCCUCAAAUCUGACAUGGCGAUGAUGAUAGAGAAUAAAUACACCCUUCGUUAACUAGAGCGAUGGCUACAGGAGAAACAACAGUCGGAGAAUUAAGCAGAGUCAACAAACCUACUAACUCCAUUCUCGAAGAGUUUUGUAACGAAACUACUGCACAUGGACUGGGACGAAUUUUACCUGUGAAAAAUAGAAUAAGAACAACCAUCUGGAGUGUUCUAUUCAUAGGGGCAUUUGUGGCAUUUACAUAUCAUUUCCAUGUCCUUUUUGGUAGACUUAGGACGAAUUCUCUCGUAACUGAAAUGGAGGUAGAAUCGAAAUUGAGCUUAGAUUUUCCAGCGAUAACCAUAUGCAAUGCAAAUAUCAUCAAGAACUCCUCCCUUUACAACCAAAAUAUAUCCAUAAAAGACCCAAAGAAUUGUCUCUUUUGGGAAAAUGUAUCCUACCAUGGAUACGACUCUGAAUUCUGGAGAGAAGAGAGCAUGCUGGCAUGUUUAGCUGAAUUAAAUAAGACAUUUCUCGCCAAACUGGGUCACCAGUUCAAGGACUUAGUAAGGUCUUGCACUUUCAGAGGGAUACCCUGCAGGGAAGAUGCCUCUUUGUGGACACACUUUUGGCAUUUCAAAUUUGGAAAUUGCUUCGUAUUUAAUUUAGGUGGAAAACAAAAGUCUUCAGUUCUUCACCAAACCAAACCUGGAAUAUCACAAGGGCUAAUGUUGGAGAUGAAUAUUCAGCAACAAGAGUACCUUGAUACCACAUCAGGUGCAGGAGUAAGAGUGGAUAUCUCAGAUCAGGGACAAAUGCCUUUUCCGCUGGAGAGUGGAGUUAGCUUGGCUCCAGGUUUCAGCACAAUGAUUGGUCUGAAGAAGACUAUCUUUGAACGAAUUGACCCCGCUAACGACGGUAAACGUUGUAGAGAAGGGGACAAAUUGACCGAGAAAAAUUUAUACACGGAAAUUUUGAACAUCUCUUACUCGACAAUGUCUUGCAGAGAAUCUUGCCUGGCCAGAAGUCAGUUAGUGAAAUGUGGAUGCAUGGAAUUCAGAUUUCCCACUCAAGAUUUGAAGAAAAUUUGUAAUUUAAUGAAUGAGACCCAACUGAGCUGUAUCUUUGGAAAACAACUCUCGUUUGAUGGAAACGGUGAUGAGUGCGCAGAGUCUUGUGUUCCACCUUGCAGGUCAGUGCAACUAAAAAAGAGUACCUCUUUAGAAGUUUGGCCAUCUGAGAAAUACAAGAAAAAAUAACCUGAGGCUGCACGUUUUCUAUCAAGAACUUGAAGAAGAAAUAAUUAAGGAGGCAAUAUCGUACACGAUUGAUGGCUU
rnacentral:misc_RNA from 1 species